rnacentral:rRNA from 1 species
GAUGAACGCUGACAGAAUGCUUAACACAUGCAAGUCUACUUGAAUUUGGGUCCUAGACUUAGAUUUGGGUGGCGGACGGGUGAGUAACGCGUAAAGAACUUGCCUCACAGUUAGGGACAACAUUUGGAAACGAAUGCUAAUACCUGAUAUUAUGAUUAUACGGCAUCGUAUAAUUAUGAAAGCUAUAUGCGCUGUGAGAGAGCUUUGCGUCCCAUUAGCUAGUUGGAGAGGUAACGGCUCACCAAGGCGAUGAUGGGUAGCCGGCCUGAGAGGGUGAACGGCCACAAGGGGACUGAGACACGGCCCUUACUCCUACGGGAGGCAGCAGUGGGGAAUAUUGGACAAUGGACCAAGAGUCUGAUCCAGCAAUUCUGUGUGCACGAUGACGUUUUUCGGAAUGUAAAGUGCUUUCAGUUGGGAAGAAAAAAAUGACGGUA